rnacentral:lncRNA from 1 species
GGCCUUCAGAGUUACAGCCUGGCUCUACCUCCCAUUGGCUUUCUGCUUCCUGAUCCACCUGCAUGUGAGCAGGCUGCUGCUGCCAGGGCCUGGAUCUGUACCAGCUACCGUGCCUUCCCCACCGUGAUGGGCUGUGUCUCUUUAACCUAAACCAAAAUAAAUCCUUCCUCCCUAAGCCGCUUCCUAUUACAACAGUAGGAAAAGUGACUAAUACAAUUGGCAUGGCCGUAAGUUAUAAAAUGUCUGCCUCUCUCUUCCAGCUCACCUGAGACAUCACAGGGCCCACUCGGUAAUUCCCAGACACACCACGGCACAGCCUGAGAGGGAGGGGCAAGUGGAGAUACCACUAUGAAGCCAACCAGGAAUGACAGUUGGAAGAUGCUUCUGAACACUCUGCUGAACACAUGUAGCAGGUGGCUAAGUAGCCAUGAGCAGCCUGGAGUGAGCAUCGGAUGCCAUGGUGUCCCCAUCCUCCAUCCACGGGUCUCCAUGUUUGAGUAUUUGGCACCUAUCUGCUGAUGCUGCUUUCAGAAACCUCUGGAGGACUCUUUUGCUUGCAAUAGUGGAACAUGACUUAGUGGUGGCCAGCAAGGCAGAGGCAGACAUCUUCUGGAGUACUGGGAAACCUUGUGCUGUUGGAAGGGAAGAAGCAGAUGCAGCUAGCCAUCUCCAGCAGACCAGUUUCACCUUCCCAUUCCAAGAACAGAGACGAAACCCGAUUCUGCAAUGGCCC